rnacentral:sRNA from 2 species
ACUAUGUACGGAGUAUACCAGGACAAAUUCCUCAUAAGCAGAAUGCUCAUGCUGGAAAAGUCGAAUUCCAAAUUCCAUCCAAAGCACAGGGACUGCAAAAAUGACGCUAACCGGCUUUGGGGGAGUAUGACGCCGCUUUUACUUACUCAGCUUUUCUGCAUCAAAUAAAAAAAUCGAGUUGGAUCAAACUGCAGAGCACGAGAUCUUCAAUCCAUCUGCUUCAACCUUGACGACAACAACCGUUAUAUCCCCUAAUACCCGAGUCUACAUUCGCCACCUUUUCCGCAAUACUUCUUUUCUUUGUUUUAUAUUUAAUUUAUCUCGUGUAAUAUAUAUUCCACAAUGGUUAAGCUACAAGAAGUCGAGGACGAGCACUUCACACAGAAGCCUACCCAACAUCCCAAAAACGGCGUCCUCCUCGAGAGCGACGAUGAUGACGAUGAUUUCACAGAUACCGGUAUGUCCUUGCCGUGCACUGGCGAUGUCAUUUUACAAUGCUCAAAUCUAUAAACAACAUGUGGCCUUGAUUUUGUGACAUAUACAUCUCUCUCUGCUAUUCUUCUAUUGAUCACCUUCCCUUUUCAAGCCUCCCGCUCAAACAACCACAACUUCUCCAAGUCCAUAGCUCUGUAUUCCCUUUAAUUUGAUAUUUUUUCCCACUCUCAUCUCAAACACCCUG